AUCAAGAGGUUAAUGGAGUUCCCCAGGUUAAAGUGCAUUAUCCAAAAUUUAUAAAUGGUGAAGCUGUUGUAAGAAAUGUAAAAGUUGCUCAGGAUUUUGGGUAUGUUGAAGAUAUAUAUCAAGUGUUGUGCUCUGCACUCAUUGAUGAGGAAACA